UACAGAGGGGGCAAGCGUUAUUCGGAAUUAUUGGGCGUAAAGGGCGCGUAGGCGGCUUUUCAAGUGACGGGUGAAAUCCCUCGGCUUAACCGAGGAACUGCCUGUCAGACUGGAAGGCUUGAGACCGGGAGAGGUGAGUGGAAUUCCCAGUGUAGCGGUGAAAUGCGUAGAUAUUGGGAGGAACACCAGUGGCGAAGGCGGCUCACUGGCCCGGUACUGACGCUGAGGCACGAAAGCGUGGGGAGCAAACAGG
rnacentral:rRNA from 1 species